CCUACGGGAGGCAGCAGUGAGGAAUAUUGGACAAUGGCCGGAAGGCUGAUCCAGCCAUGCCGCGUGCGGGAAGACGGCCCUAUGGGUUGUAAACCGCUUUUGUUGGGGAGCAAUAAGGGCCACGCGUGGUCCGAUGAGAGUACCCAGCGAAUAAGCAUCGGCUAACUCCGUGCCAGCAGCCGCGGUAAUA
rnacentral:rRNA from 1 species